CGUGCGAUGUCUCGUUCGGUUUGGUAGAGUCACGUGCCUACACCCAACGGCACACGAAUCGGAGAAACAACAAAAACACGCACCGAGAAAACGGAAAAGCCCUAACCAGUAACAGUAACAGUUACAAUCUCCGUUUUCUGUUUCUUCCAUCUUCCUCUUUUUCUUAGUGCAUGCCUUUCUCCAUUUUCUUCUCCUCUUCUUCUUCAAGUGAUAAAGAAACUGAACUGAUAAAAGAUUUGCAAAUGCUCAACGCUGGGACCUUCUUUGGUGAUGUUUAGGCUGAACAUCAUAUGGUUUAUUGCCAUAGAACCUGCUGCUUUAUCUUUUAGUACCGGACAUGUGGAAACACUUCUCAUAAGAAUGCAGUUAGACCUGUUAUUAGAGUCCAGACCUAACCCACCUCAUGAAGAAUAUUUGAAGCAUCUACGCUUAUCUUGCAAACCAAGGUUUUUGAAGAAGUGCAAAGUUUCCUUUGUGUUGUAAUUUCCUUGUUACUGAACUGGGAAAAAUAGUAAACUUGUCACGCUCGUGCCAAGGACGUAGUAAUUACAACCUGUGUCUGUUUUCAAAUGUUUGAUGCUGCUAUGGCAGUUGUGAAACCUGAGAUGAAAUCCUACAUCUGGCUUCAAACUGUGGAUGGUUCUAUUCAGCAAGUAGAGGAAGAGGUAGCCAUGUUUUGCCCCAUGAUUUGCCAGGAAGUACUUCAAACAGGCUUGGGAUCUUCCAAAACUUAUGCUAUAUCUCUUCCACAACGUGUCAAUCCUGCAAUGUUGGGUUUGAUACUUGACUACUGUCGGUUUCACCAAGUACCAGGGCAUUCUAACAAGGAGCGCAAAACUUUUGAUGAGAAGUUUAUUCGGAUGGAUACAAAGAAGUUAUGUGAGUUGACAUCUGCUGCUGACAGCCUCCAACUGAAGCCUUUGGUUGACCUGACCAGCCGAGCACUUGCUCGGAUUAUUGAAGGAAAAACUCCUGAGGAGAUUCGUGAAACAUUUCAUUUGCCUGAUGAUCUCACUGAGGAGGAGAAGCUGGAGCCUCUGAGAAACAUAACUGAUGAUCCACGAAUUCGACUUCUAAACAGAUUAUAUGCUAGAAAGAGGAAAGAACUAAAAGAGAGGAAGAAACUGAAGGAUGUUGAGGUUGAGGAGGAACCAAAGGAUGAGCGUUCAGUUGAAGAUCUUCUAUCAUUUAUUAAUGGUGCAGAUGGAGAUAUAAAGGGAACUAGAGCUAAUAAAAAUAAAAAGAAGAAUAGGAGAAGGAAAGACCAUGCAAAGGAUAUUUCUUCAGAAAAUACAAAUGAAAACGAUAAGGAAUUGAAUCCUCUUCCUUCUGCAUAUCACGAUGUCAAUUUUGACAAUGCCUUGGAGGCCUCUGCAAGUAAACACUCGAGGACGCAAAACCUCCCUGCUAUUAAUUUUUCUCCAAAAUUUGAAUUUAUUGAUGGAGAUGUUGACGAUGAUUUAGAUCCUGCGAUGAAAGAGGAGCUUGACAGGGAAGUGGAAGAUUUUGCACGAAGAUUAAAUUCAGAUUGGCCUGAAAGGAUGCAAAUUUUAUCUUUGGGCCAAGACAGAAGACUAGUGCCAAUUUCUAUGAAUAGCAAUGGUUCAACGCACCUUUAUACAGGUUUUGAUCAGAGGUAGCGCAGCACUGGCAGAUAAUCCAAUUUCCAAGGUGAGUGGAAGUGGAAGUUAAAGUGAUCUUGAAAGGAUGGCAGCUUAGGGUUUGCUGUUGCCUGAAUCUUGGAAGUGCAAGUCUGUGUGAACACCAUACGAGUAAUACAGCUUCAAAACUUUUGGAAGAAACACUGGCAACAGGAAUCCAAAUAGAUUGAAAGACCAGUAGGCCAUAUUGGCCAUUGCAAGUGCUCUCCCAACAUGAAUCCUCCAAGCAGACCCACUGUGCUCGCCAUCUAUCUUAUAGACCUCACUCCUAAGCCAAUCCACAAUGGUGAAAAUCCUUCUUGCAUUGUAGAAUGCUGGAACAAAAGCUCGAACCGGAGCCGAGAACCUUUGUGAUGAUGAUGAUGCCACUCCUUCCAUGAAAACUUGGCUGGCCAAGAGAAAAACAUGCGGUGCUGCUGCCUUGAUCCCUUCCUUGUCACCCUCAAAAACACCCUCGAAAAUGUAGGCUAUUGGGAUGAAAAGCCCAAUGGUGGCACCGAUGAGGGUAUAAAGUUGGAUGAGCUUGUUUUGGGGGUUGAAGACUUCUUGGGGGUCCCUUGAUGGAUGAAGAGAAGGGAAAGCCACCUUGGCUAUGAAGUGCAGGUAAAUAAGGGAGAAGAACACAAAGGCAAAGUCUUCAGGGCUUACCAAGCCACUGGCAGAUAGGACAAUUACCACAGCCAGGGAAUUGAGCUGGUUGAAAGAGAGAAUAGUACCCACUUUGUGUUGUUGUGGUGGUGUGGUGGGCUUGUUGAGAUUCUUGAGUAAUGAUUGUUGUUGGUCUUGUUGUUCUUUGAAACUAAGUUCUUGUUCUUUUGGGAGGCUAAUGUCACAGCCUGUUGGCCCAACACCACCUGACAUGUUUGUGAAGCUAUCGAGAAUUGACAAUUAAUUAAUAAUAAUUUGUCUGGAUGGGUGUGUGUGUGUAGAUUGAAUGAAGGACUAAUGCAUGGGGGUGGAUUUGUUUCCUUUUGGGUGUGUUUAGAAUGAAAUGAACAAAAUCAUAAGAAA